rnacentral:rRNA from 1 species
AGUGAACGCUGGCGGUAGGCCUAACACAUGCAAGUCGAACGGCAGCACAGUAAGAGCUUGCUCUUACGGGUGGCGAGUGGCGGACGGGUGAGGAAUACAUCGGAAUCUACUUUUUCGUGGGGGAUAACGUAGGGAAACUUACGCUAAUACCGCAUACGACCCACGGGUGAAAGCAGGGGAUCUUCGGACCUUGCGCGAUUGAAUGAGCCGAUGUCGGAUUAGCUAGUUGGCGGGGUAAAGGCCCACCAAGGCGACGAUCCGUAGCUGGUCUGAGAGGAUGAUCAGCCACACUGGAACUGAGACACGGUCCAGACUCCUACGGGAGGCAGCAGAGGGGAAUAUUGGACAAUGGGCGCAAGCCUGAUCCAGCCAUACCGCGUGGGUGAAGAAGGCCUUCGGGUUGUAAAGCCCUUUUGUUGGGAAAGAAAAGCAGCAGGUUAAUACCCCGCUGUUCUGACGGUACCCAAAGAAUAAGCACCGGCUAACUUCGUG